CAGAGUUUUCUAAACUCCCAACCCUAUGUGUAUCUACUAUUUUGUUGCCUCGGCGGGCUCUGCUCCUCCCCCGGAGCAGGCCUAAGCCCGCCGGCGGCCCAAACUUAAACUCUUGUAAUUUUUUGUCAUCUGAGAGUUAUUUUUAAAAUAAGUCA
rnacentral:misc_RNA from 1 species